AUGGCAAUGAAGGAGAUGGUUCUGGAAGUCAGUCCCUUCGCCAAAAACUCAAAGCGUGCUGCUAAUCGCCAGCCACGCCCAAAACGUAGUGUUGAGCAGGGAGAGGAAGUUGAGGCCAGCGGCGAAGGAGUUGAGGUGGCUGCCCGGGAAUAUGUGGAGCGACCAUCACAACCUGGCAGGUUAAGGGCAUCACCAGGGCGGUUUGCAAAGUUCAACAGCUCGCUAUCCCCGCCGCAAAAGUCUGAGCUAGUUUCAAGGUUGUUUGGGGGCCUCUUGAACUUAUCAGAUACACUUCCAGGGGACUUCGGUAAAUUCCUGGUGCAGUCCUACCAGCCAGAGACCUCUGAAAUGGUGUUCCUAGGCAGGGAAAGUAUCUGUGUCGAUGCUGACAGUGUUCAAAGGGUAUUUGAUCUUCCUAACAGGGGUCAAAAAGUCAGAUAUAAAGUUGACAAGGAUACAACUAGGAGAUUCAGAGAGACUUUCAACAUACGUGGAGAUUCUCAUCCCCAGGUCAUAACAUGGACCAAGAUGAUUAAGGAUAUGGGGAUCCUGUACCUUGACACGCUUGUUCAUGACAUCCUGGUAAACAACUGUGCGAUACGAUCGAAUGCAUGGGACAGUAACCUAAUUGCCAAGGUGAUCAAGAAGGACACGAUCUCUCCUGGUGUGUUCGGCAAAUUACAAAAAAAGGCAAAGAUUGCCAAAGUGGUCGAUGACUUGUGCAAGGCAGUAACUAAAUAG
rnacentral:rRNA from 1 species